GACGAACGCUGGCGGCAUGCCUAACACAUGCAAGUCGAACGGACGGACCAGAAGAGCUUUUCGGUGUGGUUAUGGACAGACAGUGGCGGAAGGGUGAGUAACGCGUCCACAAAUUCCGUUGUAAAGGGGAAUAACCUCGAGAAAUACCAGCUGAUACUCCAUACUACCUUUGUCUAGAGUGAAAUACGGUGUUAAGGCCGCUUUUGCACUGUCGCUCCCUGCUGGGUCCGCGUUGGAUUAGCUAGUUGGUGAGGUAAAGGCUUACCAAGGCGACGAUGAGUAGCCGGCCUGAGAGGGUGAACGGCCACAUUGGAACUGAGACACGGCCCAGACUCCUACGGGAGGCAGCAGUGGGGAAUCUUCCGCAAUGGGCGAAAGCCUGACGGAGCAAUGCCGCGUGAGUGAUGAAGGCCUUCGGGUUGUAAAACUCUGUUCUUAGGGAAGAAAGUAUGUGGAAGUAACUGUCCAUAUUAUGACGGUACAUAAUGAGAAAGCCCCGGCUAACUACGUG
rnacentral:rRNA from 1 species